rnacentral:rRNA from 1 species
AUAGGGGGAUCCCAAGGGCACAGGCAUAGUGCCUGUGCUUUUCGGUACCGUANGGUGGUACCAGAAUAAGGGCUGGGCAAGACCGGUGCCAGCCGCCGCGGUAAUACCGGCAGCCCAAGUGAUGGCCGAUCUUAUUGGGCCUAAAGCGUCCGUAGCUGGCCGCGCAAGUCCAUCGGGAAAUCCACCUGCUCAACAGGUGGGCGCCCGGUAGAAACUGCGUGGCUUGGGACCGGAAGGCGCGACGGGUACGUCCGGGGUAGGAGUGAAAUCCCGUAAUCCUGGACGGACCGCCGAUGGCGAAAGCACGUCGCGAGGACGGAUCCGACAGUGAGGGACGAAAGCCAGGGUCUCGAACCGGAUUAGAUACCCGGGUAGUCCUGGCCGUAAACAAUGUCUGCUAGGUGUGGCUCCCACUACGAGUGGGUGCUGUGCCGUAGGGAAGCCGCUAAGCAGACCGCCUGGGAAGUACGUCCGCAAGGAUGAAACUUAAAGGAAUUGGCGGGGGAGCACUACAACCGGAGGAGCCUGCGGUUUAAUUGGACUCAACGCCGGACAUCUCACCAGCAUCGACUGUAAUAAU